AUUGAACGCUGGCGGCAUGCCUUACACAUGCAAGUCGAACGGUAACGCGGAGCAACCUGGCGACGAGUGGCGAACGGGUGAGUAAUACAUCGGAACGUGCCCAGUAAUGGGGGAUAGCCCGGCGAAAGCCGGAUUAAUACCGCAUACGACCUAAGGGUGAAAGAGGGGGAUCGCAAGACCUCUCGUUAUUGGAGCGGCCGAUGGCAGAUUAGGUAGUUGGUGGGGUAAAGGCCUACCAAGCCGACGAUCUGUAGCUGGUCUGAGAGGACGACCAGCCACACUGGGACUGAGACACGGCCCAGACUCCUACGGGAGGCAGCAGUGGGGAAUUUUGGACAAUGGACGCAAGUCUGAUCCAGCAAUGCCGCGUGCGGGAAGAAGGCCUUCGGGUUGUAAACCGCUUUUGUCAGGGAAGAAAUCUUCUGGGUUAAUACCUCGGGAGGAUGACGGUACCUGAAGAAUAAGCACCGGCUAACUACGUGCCAGCAGCCGCGGUAACAC
rnacentral:rRNA from 1 species